rnacentral:rRNA from 1 species
UACGUAGGGACCAAGCGUUGUCCGGAAUCAUUGGGCGUAAAGCGCGCGUAGGUGGCUUCGUAAGUCCGUUGUGAAAGUCAAAGGCUCAACCUUUGAAAGCCGAUGGAUACUGCGAAGCUAGAGUACGGAAGAGGCGAGUGGAAUUCCUGGUGUAGCGGUGAAAUGCGCAGAUAUCAGGAGGAACACCGGUGGCGAAGGCGGUUCUCUGGGCAUUACCUGACGCUGAGGAGCGAAAGUGUGGGGAGCGAACAGG